AUGGACGCCCCCGCGCCUACCCCCGCCCCCGCCCCUCCCGCCGCCGCGGUGCCGGCCGAGGCCGCCGCGAGGGCUCCUGCCCCCGCUCCUGCGCCGCCGCAGCCUGCCGCGGCGGCCCCGCCGGCGGGGAGGCAGCUGUUCUCCGUGGAGCUCCGGCCCGGGGAGACCACCAUUGUGUCGUGGAAGAAGCUUCUCAAGGAUGCCGGCCCGGGAGCCGCCCCGCCGCCCUCCCUGCCCGCCGCGGCGGUGCAGCCGGUCGUUGCCCCCCUCGCGGGGCCCUCUGGUGCUGCGGUACAUCCAACAGAAAACGACCCAAAUGAUCCAUCACAGUCAAAUCGGUUCAAUGCAGUUAUUGAGAAAAUCGAGCGCCUUUACAUGGGCAAACAUAGUAGCGACGAAGAAGAUUUGGGUGAUGUGCCUGAUGAUGAUCAGUAUGACACCGAAGAUUCUUUCAUUGAUGACGCUGAAUUGGACGAGUACUUUGAAGUUGACAAUUUGGAAACCAAGCACACUGGAUUUUUUGUGAACAAAGGGAAAUUGGAACAAAGUGAGUAUGGCUCAGUACAAAAUGUUGUACCAGAUGGCACAGUACAAAAUGUUGGACCGAAGAAACGGAGAAGAAGAGACUCUUCAAAUUCUUACAUCGAAAAUAGCAAGGAGCUUGCAACAGGCAGCAUGCCUGUAAAAGCCCCUAAAAGAAAUGCUCUUGAAAUAGGGAAAAACAUAGCAAGUAGCGACUUAAGUUCUUACAGCGAAUAUCACUCUGAAGGCAACAAACCGUUGACGAAUAAAAGUAAUUCCCCUGGAAGAAUGCAGAAAGUGAAUGCCAGUGACAAUGCAACUGGUGCUGAGUACGCAUCACUUCCGAAGAUAUCAAGUAAGGGUGUUUCAUUACCUUCUUCAGAAAUAAAGGACUUGAACAAGCAUAAAACUGCAGUGCCGCAGGCUGUUGAUUUUGCUCCGAAGCCAGAUUUGCCAAAGAAAAUGCGUUCCAAAGAAAAAUAUGGUGUCAAUCAGUUUCCUGGCUUGACUACAGCAGACAACGUAUAUUCGACACAAACAACGCACUUGGCUGCAAACAGGCGCAUAGAAGGUUCAGGUAUUAAGGCCAAGGGUACCAGACUCGAGCGAGCUAUUCGUGACCUUGAAAAUAUUGUUGGUGAAUACAAACCGCAUACUCUUGAUGUUCCGUACAUUGAUCCAAAUUGUCAAGGAGCGGUCAAAAGAAGACUGCCUCAAGAAAUAAAACAAAAACUUGCUAAGGUCGCAAGGUUAUCGGCAAAUCAGGGUAAAAUCUCAGAAGAUGAAUUGAUCAAUCGCCUCAUGGGCAUAGUGGGGCACCUUGUGCAGCGUAGGACACUGAAGAGAAACAUGAAAGAAAUGGUCGAAUCGGGUAUGUGCGCUAAGCAAGAGAAGGCUGACAAGUUCCAGCAAGUGAAAACUGAGAUCUAUGAAAUGGUCAAAGCACGUCUAGACACCAAGCCCAAGGUUACUGAACAAAGGGAUGAUUCAGCACAUGAUUUUCAAGGGGGUGUCAGUAUUGAUGAUAAAACAGCCUUAAAAGGCAAAUUUGUUCUGGAUGCUCCACUGGAGGACAGGAUCUGUGAUCUAUAUGAUCUUUAUGUUGAGGGUAUGGAUGAAGACAAGGGCCCUCAGAGUCGUAAGUUAUAUGUAGAGCUUGCUGACUUGUGGCCACAAGGUUACAUGGAUAAAGUUGAAAUUCGAAAUGCCAUUUCAAGAUCGAAGGAGCGAAGAAAUUUAUUGUACCGGCAGCGCAAGGUUCGCAACGAGGAGAGAAUGAAGAGGAGAAGGAUAGCUGCUGCCGCCAAGUCACGAGAUGGCAACCCAAUGGUGGCUCAGUAUGCUACAGCACAGCAAGUUAUGCAACCGCCCGUGAAAGACGCUAGUCCAUCGAUGACAAGCACACACACCUUGUAUCCUGUUGUUAACUAUGGACAUAGCCAGGUCUGCAGAAACGCUGACAGAGUUGGUGAAGUGACCGUGGGUGCAGCAUCUGACGGCAACCGUAGUUCUUCCACGGACAUCAAGAGGAGGAAACUAGGGUCUGACGCCGCCGUGGAUCUGCAACUGCAAGCUAACCCACUGAAGGUUCCCCCGCGGUAUGUCAGCGAGAAGCAGAAGCCUGCGAAGCGUGUGGAUGAUGCAAAGGUCGGCAGUAGCAGUAGCCUUCCUCAGACGGUGCUUGCCGUUGCAGGCUAUGACCCCCAGCGGCCCGGCUACAGCUAA
rnacentral:rRNA from 1 species